AAAGUAAUGAAGUAACAAUUUACCCUUAGCUUCGACCUAAAAAUUAGAGAAUAUAUCUCCUUACUUAU
rnacentral:tRNA from 1 species